GCUGCCCUUCUGCCGCGAGGAGGGGCGGGACGGGCCGACGGUCCCCGAGACCGCGUCAGGGGCUGUGCCUCCGCGUCAGCGCGAGUGUAGACUUGCUUCCCCAAGUUUUACUGUAAUGCGCCUCUUGGCGGUGCCGGUGUCCAGCUGCGCGCUGCCUCCGCUGCGUGGCUCCGGGAGCUGGGACGGCGGAGUGCGCGCCGGCUUCACCUCUGCGGGAGCCAGGUGGCCCUCGGGGUAACAGUGCGCCGGCGGGACUUUGGUCCAUCCCUGAGGACAGGAGGGAAAAAGGGAGAAGCCGCCCGGCCCUGCAGAUCCAAUGGAAAACAUUGUAAACAUACACCAGCAAGCAUUCUGCAAUGAACAGAAGAAAUUCAUGGCUGAAAUGGAGUACAUGGAUGUAGGACCCUUUUGAAAUUCGCAGAGAAGCUUUACAAGAAAGUUUGAUUUUUUUCCAUAAAGGCAAAAUUUUAUUAAAAAGACUGCUUCUGGACCUAGAAAUUCUUUGUCACAGUAUUGUUUUUAUGGGAUAUAUUCCAUAAAAUAUAUUGAAGGAAUAUAUUGGUAGAUGUCACUUUCCCAGUCUGUAACUACUGGAGAUGGAACUAAUCAAUUUCUAACUGCUGUGGAAAAUUCAUAUGCAAGUUUAUGGAAUCAAGAAAAGGAGAAAGGUAGUUAAACCUAAGCUCCUUUAAUAUUUUAUUUAUUUAUUUUUUUAAGACUAGUCAAGUAUGGUAGUGAGAAGAGAAGAAUAGAACAAGGAGUUCAAUCUGUAACUGACUGUGAACAAUUGAGAUAAUAAAACUACCUUCAGACCAGCCUAAGCUCCUUUAAUAUUAAGUUGUUAUUAUAGUAUUGAAACUUCUGAUUCCCAUUUCACCACAUUUACCUUGAAGUAAACAGCUUUACUGGGGUAUAUUUUCAAGUGUUUGGAGACGCUGAAGUAGUGUAUAUGAAUGAAACUGAAGAAUAAAUUUUAUUUUAUGAUAGGAUGAAAGAAAUGCAAUGUUUAGCUAUAUCUUAGCCUAAUUUACACUUUCCUAGUUUACAGUGUAAAUAACAGAAAUUAUUUUGUCAUGGAGUUACUGUUAAAUAAGGUUUACCCAUAAGUCUGGAAUUAUUAUUAAUAUACAUUUUUUAUUAUUCAAGUUGACAAGUCUGCUUCUUUGGGUCAUGUACUCAAACAUGAACAUAACUUUGUUAUUUAGAGCUCAGUUUUGGUUAUGGUUUUCAUUAGAAGAAUUGAUCUAUCUUCUUGCUUUCCAAAA